GCCAGCAGCCGCGGUAAUACAGAGGGUGCAAGCGUUAUCCGGAUUUAUUGGGCGUAGAGCGUUUCGUAGGCGGUUUGGUAAGUUAGACUUCAAAGACCACGGCUCAACCGGGGGAAGGGGUCUAAUACUGCCAGACUUGAGGGUUUUAGGGGCAAUCGGAACUGUUGGUGUAGGGGUGAAAUCCGUUGAUAUCAACAGGAACGUCAAGGGCGUAGGCAGAUUGCUGGGAAACUUCUGACGCUGAGGAACGAAAGCUAGGGGAGCGAAAGGGAUGGGGUUUAUAAACUCUAGUUCCUCCGUUAAGUAAUUAACGGUUUAAAAAUUCGACUAUAUGCUGGAAUAACUGUGUAUCUUAGACUAGUAUUGACUUUGGUUUUAAUUCGGAUAAUACUGAAUUAAUGCCCAAAUUAAAUACUGAAAAUGUUUUAAGUGCAGUCAAUCAGCAGGGAAGAUCUCGAAAGAGAAACCCUCAGAGACUAUAUGUCGAAUAUCCUAGUAAGAAUGUAAUAAGUAAUAUAGAAGCAACUUUAUUGGGUAUCUUAUACACUGAUGGUUGUUUAUCUAGAAAGAGUAAGAAUGCUUGGAGAUUUUAUCUAAGUAAUACUUCUUACGAGAUUAUACAAAUAUUUAAAAAUUGUAUGAUUAAACUUUUUGGAUUAAACACUAAAAGAAUAAGAAUAUCUAAAUAUGUUGUUAAUGGUAAGCCUUUUUAUAAAGCAAUUGUAGAUAGUGCAUCAUCUGGAGAAUUUUUAAAUUCAAAAUAUGGUACAUUUCGAACUCUUGCUUAUAAAAGUGUAGAUGGUAAAGUAAUUUAUCCUUCUACAAAAUUACCGUUUAACAAAAAUUCUAAUCGCAAAAUAAUUUGCAAGUUUUUAAAAACUGCAUUUAGUUGUGAUGGAGGUAUAAAUUUAUAUGUAGCAAAAUCAAAGUUUGGUUACAAAUUUUUGAUUAGAAAUGCAUAUUUAGCUUGCAAACAUCCACAAUUACAGAUUGAUUAUCAUAAACUUUUAAAAGUUCUUGGUAUUAAAUCUAAAAUUUUUGAAAAAGAUGGAAAAAUACUUAUUCAAGGAAGAAAUGAAUUGAAUAAAUUUAGUAAAAAAGUUGGUUUUCUAAAAAGAGUCAAGAUAACACAAAAUUCUAAAUUUUGGCAAGGUGCUGAAAAAGAAAAAGUGUUAAAUCUUGCAUUAAAUUCUUACAAUAAUCCGAGAAAGAUUAUAAAUCUUUCAAAGUUUAAAGGAUAAAGAUAUAGUCCGACCUCAUAAGCGAUUAUGAGACUACGUGUUGAAUCGUAGUAAACAAACUAUUUAUAGUUUGUUAUAACAAAUUUGUAGAGACCCCUGUAGUCCUAGCCGUAAACUUUGCCUGCUAGCGAUCCGACUUUGGUCGGGUUGCGUAAGCUAACGCGUUAAGCGGGCCGCCUGGGGAGUACGAACGCAAGUUUAAAACUCAAAGGAAUUGACGGGAAGGCGCACAACCAGUGGAGCAUGUGGUUUAAUUCGAAACGAAACGAAGAACCUUACCCAGUCUUGACAUAUUACCGUUUUAGAUUGCCAGAAAUGGCGAUCGAUCCUUAAGUAAUUUUGGAUGGUAUUACAGGUGUUGCAUGGCCGUCGUCAGCUCGUGUCGUAGGUUAACACUUUGCGACCCUUCGAAGCAAUUCGGAGUGCGAAAUCUGGCUCAUAUCGGUGGAACUUCUUAUUUUUAAUAAGAACAAUACCGAGGGAAGUCGACUUAAAUUUUAAGUUUGACCCCGUAACGACUGAUUUUGGUAUUUUUAAAUAUCAAAUGAUAUACAAGAUAAUACGCUUGUAUAACACGCCAGCUCCCGAUUUAAUCGGGAUGAAGGUAUAGUCUAAUUACAGUUACCUUUUAAAGUAAUUGGAGGUGUUCCCUUCAGUGGGGUAACGAGCGCAACCCCUGCCCUGAGUUAAAUAAUCUCAGGGGACUUCCCUCAUUUAUUGCGGGAGGAAGUGGGGACGACGUCAGGUCAGCAUGGCCCUUAUGACUGGGGCAACACACAUACUACAAUGGAGCCGACAAUGGGUUGCCAAGCCGCAAGGCGGAGCUAAUCCCAUCAAACGGCUUCUCAGUUGGGAUUGAGGGCUGCAACUCGCCCUCAUGAACAUGGAAUUGGUAGUAAUCGCGGGUCAGCUAUACCGCGGUGAAUACGUUCUCGCCUUUUGUACACACCGCCCGUCAAGGCAGUAAAGUUAAAGGUACCCGAACUUCGAUUUUGUCGGAGGAAGGUAAAUUUAGCGAUAAGGCUUAAGUCGUUGGUUAAGUUAACGUUGCGACUUUAGAGAGUGAUCUCUAAAAAAAAUCUUGCUGUAUCGGUGAAACCUAAAGUAGUAAAAUACAAUGGUAAUACCGAGGGAACCCCAAAUUCUUUGGGGACUCCGUAGAGACUACACGCGAGCACUAUGAUAACAAAAUCGUACUUGUUAGGAAUGUUGCACGAUGCAACUGAAAGAAAAAAUACUUAUCGAAUUGCGACUAAGAAUUUUAAUUUUGCAAAAGUUAUCCGAGAGGGUAUCAUAAAAUUAAAUUCUAAGGUUUGGAUUUACAAAGAAGGAAAGAAUCGCAAUCUUUGGAUUGUAGAAUUUUCUAAAUCACUUUUAAAAGAAGUGAAUGUUAAAUCAAAACAAAAUAAAAUCGAUUACAUUCGAGGCUAUUUUGACGCAGAAGGGGGUAUUUCUCAAAGUUCUAAAGUUAGAUUUUAUAUUUAUUUUUGCCAGAAAGACAAAAUUGAUCUGGAGGAAGUAAAAAAUUAUUUAAUAGAAUUGGGAGUCAGUUGUGGAGUAACACAUAAUCCAAGUAAAAAGGUUGAUCCUAAUUAUUGGAGAUUUUUUAUACGAUCGAAAUCGUACAAAUAUUUUGCAAAAAUAAUUAGUUCAGAUCAUCCGGAAAAGAUUAAGUUAUUAGAGAUGAAGAUAUAGUCCAUACCACACGAAAGUCGUGGAAUUUAUAUGAACAAGGUAUCCCUACUGGAAGGUGGGGAUGGAUCACCUCCUU
rnacentral:rRNA from 1 species